GCCUUAAGACAAUGUUGUCUUUACGAAUCGUGUCAGGUCCGGAAGGAAGCAGCACUAAGUAUUGUACGCAUGUGUCUUAAGUUAUU
rnacentral:SRP_RNA from 1 species